rnacentral:tRNA from 1 species
AGGCCUGUGAUGAAAUUGGCUAUCAUGACAGUCUCCAAAACUGUUCUUCCGGGUUCAAGUCCCGGCAGGCCUGCCA